GUCCACGCCCUAAACGAUGGGUACUAGACGUCGGGAAGCUUGUCUUCUUGGUGUCGCAGCUAACGCAAUAAGUACCCCGCCUGGGGAGUACGGUCGCAAGAUUAAAACUCAAAGGAAUUGACGGGGGCCCGCACAAGCGGUGGAGCAUGUGGUUCAAUUCGAUGCAACGCGAAAACCUUACCUGCCCUUGACAUCUGGUGAAUCCUGCAGAGAUGCGGGAGUGCCGCAAGGAACCCCAAGACAGGUGCUGCAUGGCUGUCGU
rnacentral:rRNA from 1 species